AUGAACGCUGGCGGCGUGCCUAAUACCUGCAAGUCGCGCGAACAGACGAGGAGCUUGCUCCUCUGACGUUAGCGGCGGACGGGUGAGUAACACGUGGAUAACCUACCUAUAAGACUGGGAUAACUUCGGGAAACCGGAGCUAAUACCGGAUAAUAUAUUUAACCGCAUGGUUCAAUAGUGAAAGACGGUUUUGCUGUCACUUAUAGAUGGAUCCGCGCCGCAUUAGCUAGUUGGUAAGGUAACGGCUUACCAAGGCAACGAUGCGUAGACGACCUGAGAGGGUGAUCGGCCACACUGGAACUGAGACACGGUCCAGACUACUACGGGAGGCAGCAGUAGGGAAUCUGCCGCAAUGGGCGAAAGCCUGACGGAGCAACGCCGCGUGAGUGAUGAAGGUCUUCGGAUCGUAAAACUCUGUUAUUAGGGAAGAACAAAUGUGUAAGUAACUAUGCACGUAUUGACGGUACCUAAUCAGAAAGCCACGGCUAACUACGUG
rnacentral:rRNA from 1 species